rnacentral:rRNA from 1 species
CGUGUAGGUGGUCAGGUAAGUGGAAUGUGAAAUGCCCCGGCUCACCCGGGGACCGGCAUCCCAAACUGCCUGGCUUGAGUAUGGGAGAGGAUGGAGGAAUUCCUGGUGUAGCGGUGAAAUGCGUAGAUAUCAGGAGGAACACCGGUGGCGAAGGCGUCCAUCUGGCCCAAUACUGACGCUGAGGCGCGAAAGCUAGGGGAGCAAACG